UACGUAGGGUGCAAGCGUUAAUCGGAAUUACUGGGCGUAAAGCGUGCGCAGGCGGUUUUGUAAGUCUGUCGUGAAAUCCCCGGGCUCAACCUGGGAAUGGUGAUGGAGACUGCAAGGCUAGAGUUGGCAGAGGGGGGUAGAAUUCCACGUGUAGCAGUGAAAUGCGUAGAUAUGUGGAGGAACACCGAUGGCGAAGGCAGCCCCCUGGGUCAAAACUGACGCUCAUGACACGAAAGCGUGGGGAGCAAACAGG
rnacentral:rRNA from 1 species